AAAAGUGUAUAAGUAGCACAGGCACGGUGUCAUGGAAAUAUGAAUUACAUUAUAAUAUGACAAAAGAAACGCAUAAAAUAUUAUAACUAUAAGAGUUUAUUUUCUCUUUUAUUUCAGGCAAAUGCUUACAGCCUCCUAUGAAGGAUCCUGCGGUCAAGGAGCCACUGAAUCCUGCUCCAAAAGUCUAAAGGACAAACAACCUUGCAUACAGUUUAUGGAGAUAUAUUGCAUUCAAAAAAGAGACAUUGUCACAUGAUCAGUGGCGGUCCUAGCCUGUUUGGCGCCCCGGGCAAACACUCCCUGUGGCUGAUGACGGGGCAGCAUGAAUACGAGCAUUUUUUUUUUUUUUUUUGCAGAUGCCCGUGAUGCCGCCCCCACCAUUAUGCCGCCCCGGGCAACCGCCCAUGUCGCCCGUAUCAAAAACCGCUACUGCUCAGUGAUAAAGGAAUCAUAAUAAUAUAUUUCUAAAUCUUGUACGUUUACUUAAAAUUUGAUUUAAAAGACAAACUUGUGUUGAAUUCCAGGAGACCUUAAAAGAUUUUACUUUGUCUGAUUUAUUUCUUAAUUAAUGAAGAUUAUGUUUAUUCUCUGUUGUUUGAUUUAAGACAAGUUUUGAGUGUUUUUGAUUUUAGAGUUUAGUUCAAGUUGAGAUUCUGGAGGUUUGUGUGGGUUAUGUUUUUAACACAUUGGUGGGUUUGUUUCUGUUUAUAUAUCAGUAAAACUGCAUUGCUCUUUCUCUCCUUUUUGUACUUUUGCUUUUCAAUAAAGUCCCAAAUAAUCCAAAUUUCUGUGACUUUUU